AAAAAGUCGUAACAAGGUCUCCGUUGGUGAACCAGCGGAGGGAUCAUUACCGAGUUUACAACUCCCAAACCCCUGUGAACAUACCUUAUGUUGCCUCGGCGGAUCAGCCCGCGCCCCGUAAAAAGGGACGGCCCGCCGCAGGAACCCUAAACUCUGUUUUUAGUGGAACUUCUGAGUAUAAAAAACAAAUAAAUCAAAACUUUCAACAACGGAUCUCUUGGUUCUGGCAUCGAUGAAGAACGCAGCAAAAUGCGAUAAGUAAUGUGAAUUGCAGAAUUCAGUGAAUCAUCGAAUCUUUGAACGCACAUUGCGCCCGCCAGUAUUCUGGCGGGCAUGCCUGUUCGAGCGUCAUUUCAACCCUCAAGCCCAGCUUGGUGUUGGGAGCUGCAGUCCUGCUGCACUCCCCAAAUACAUUGGCGGUCACGUCGAGCUUCCAUAGCGUAGUAAUUUACAUAUCGUUACUGGUAAUCGUCGCGGCCACGCCGUUAAACCCCAACUUCUGAAUGUUGACCUCGGAUCAGGUAGGAAUACCCGCUGAACUUAAGCAUAUCAAUAAGCC
rnacentral:rRNA from 1 species